rnacentral:rRNA from 1 species
AUACGGGACUCAUCCGAGGCCCCGUAAUCGGAAUGAGUACACUUUAAAUCCUUUAACGAGGAUCUAUUAGAGGGCCAGUCUGGUGCCAGCAGCCGCGAUAAUUCCAGCUCUAAUAGCGUGUAUUAAAGUUGUUGCGGUUGAAAAGCUCGUAGUUGAAUCUGUGUCCCACACUGUCGGUUCACCGCUCGCGGUGUUCAACAGGCAUGUCUGUGGGACGUCCUACCGGUGCGCUUAGCCCGUAAAAAGGCGGCCCAACUCAAAAUCCUACCAAGGUGCUCUUUACCGAGUGUCGAGGUGGGCCGGAACGUUUACUUUGAACAAAUUAGAGUGCUUAAAGCAGGCUCAUUCGCCUGAAUAUUGUGUGCAUGGAAUAAUGGAAUAGGACCUCGGUUCUAUUAUGUUGGUUUUCGGAAUUCCGAGGUAAUGAUUAAUAGGGACAACUGGGGGCAUUCGUAUUGCGAUGUUAGAGGUGAAAUUCUUGGAUCGUCGCAAGACGGACAGAAGCGAAAGCAUUUGCCAAAUGUGUUUUCAUCAAUCAAGAACGAAAGUUAGAGGUUCGAAGGCGAUCAGAUACCGCCCUAGUUCUAACCAUAAACGAUGCCAGCUAGCGAUCCGCCGAAGUUCCUCCGAUGAUUCGGCGGGCAGCUUCCGGGAAACCAAAGCUUUUGGGUUCCGGGGGAAGUAUGGUUGCAAAGCUGAAACUAAAAGGAAUUGACGGAAGGGCACUACAAGGAGUGGAGCCUGCGGCUUAAUUUGACUCAACACGGGAAACCUCACCAGGUCCAGACACCGGAAGGAUUGACAGAUUAAGAGCUGUUUCUUGAUUCGGUGGGUGAUGGUGCAUGGCCGUUCUUAGUUGGUGGAGUGAUUUGUCUGGUUAAUUCUGAUAACGAACGAGACUCUAGCCUGCUAAAUAGGCGUACUUUCUAGUAUCGCAAAGACCCUCCGCUUUGGCUUCGGUCGUUGGUGGUUCUCACUACCGGCGUACAAAUAUAUCUUCUUAGAGGGACAGGCGGCAUUUAGUCGCACGAAAUUGAGCAAUAACAGUUCUGUGAUGCCCUUAGAUGUUCUGGGCCGCACGCGCGCUACACUGAAGAGAUCAGCAGGUUUUACUUGGCCGAAAGGUCCGGGUAAUCCGUUGAAGCCUCUUUGUGCUAGGAAUUGGGGCUUGCAAUUCUUCCCCAUGAACGAGGAAUUCCUGGUAGCCGUAUUAAUAUAAAUAUAAAUAUAAAUAUAAAUAUAAAUAGAAAGAGAAAAGAAAGAGAAAGAGAAAGAAAAGAGAAAGAGAAAGAGAAAGAAAAGAA